UUUAAGUAUAGUUGUGCGUUUCUCCGUUUCUGUGUUUGAUUCAUCUUAUUUGAAAUUUUUUAUGAUUAAUAUUUUUAUUGUUAUUAUAUGAUAAAAUAUGAAUAGUACUUUGUGUGACUUUUUUUUUUUAAUUUUUCACAUAUUUUCCAAACAAGACGGAUGGUCAAACGUUGGACACGAAACCCACCACCACACUUAAA
rnacentral:pre_miRNA from 1 species